CCUACGGGGUGCAGCAGGCGCGAAACCUUCGCAAUGUGCGAAAGCACGACGAGGUUAUUCCGAGUGAUUUCCGCUGAGGAAAUCUUUUCUCAGAUCUAAAACGUCUGGGGAAUAAGGGGAGGGCAAGUCUGGUGUCAGCCGCCGCGGUAAUACCAGCUCCUCGAGUGGUCAGGGCGUUUAUUGGGCCUGAAGCAUCCGUAGCCGGCUUAGUUGGUCUCCUGUUAAAUCCAACGGCCCAACCGUUGGUCUGCAGGAGAUACCGCUGGGCUAGGAGGCGGGAGAGGCGGACGGUACUCCGAGGGUAGGGGUAAAAUCCUUUGAUCCCCGGAAGACCACCAGUGGCGAAGGCGGUCCGCCAGAACGCGCUCGACGGUGAGGGAUGAAAGCUGGGGGAGCGAACCGGAUUAGAUACCCGGGUAGUCUCAGCCGUAAACGAUGCGAGCUAGGUGACACGACGCCUUCGGGGCGUCGUGGUGCCGCAGGGAAGCCGUUAAGCUCGCCGCCUGGGGAGUACGGACGCAAGUCUGAAACUUAAAGGAAUUGGCGGGGGAGCACCACAAGGGGUGAAGCCUGCGGUUCAAUUGGAGUCAACGCCGGGAAUCUUACCGGGAGCGACAGCAGAUUGAAGGUCAAGCUGAAGACUUUACCAGACGAGCUGAGAGGAGGUGCAUGGCCGUUGCCAGCUCGUGCCGUGAGGCGUCCUGAUUAAGUCAGGCAACAAGCGAGACCCUGCUUCUAAUGCUUUACCAGACAUCGCAGAAUGUUUGUGGCUAGUUAGAAAGGAACUGCCGCCCGGCUA
rnacentral:rRNA from 1 species